AGUGGAAGCUGUGUCAAUAACAGGCAGGAAGCACAGCGCCCCUAAAUUCAACUGCCCUGAACUGGCUGCCUGUCCCUAGCAGAGAUUUCAGAAUGGUCUUCUCAGAAUAAUAUUUCAAUUUCACUCAACCCUAUGACAUUUGAUGACAACAUUAACAGAAAAUUAGUGAUGAAUUCAUGUCUGCAUUCCAAAGUACCUGGCUGAAUUUACUGCGUAAAAAAGAAAGAAAAGAAAAGAAAAAAAAAGAAAAAAAAGCAGCUGAACGGAUACAUCAUUGAAAACCAGCAACUGUUGAUUGACAGAAUUUUUUCCCAUUCCUUAAGGCGAUCAAGUGCAGCGCCCAGUCUAAAAAUGCCUCAGAGACGUGCCAUCCAAUGACUUGGACCUUUGAGCUCAGGGGAUUGUGAUAGAAUUAAGUCUGACUCAACAAAUGAGGUCACUGGGAAGAAGCGCUGGCGUUAAAUUUACCGUUAAUGCCAGGGUCAAUUUACUAAACAGUCAUCUGCUUGUGGUUCCAGAAGUCCUCUGGGUAAAUUCCAGAGACUGCCAGGGCUGGAGAUAGCUUGCUCAUGAAGUCACCGAUUCUUGGUCAAUGCGACGUUUGGUGACCAUCUUUUAGUCCCCCAGAAAGUAUUUCCAGAGACGGGAUGCCAUUUCGUUGCCCAGAAGAGAGCUGGGGAAAUGGACAGAGGAAGGGAAGCUAUGGACUCUUCUCCCCAGACCUCCAUGAUAGACUUGUCAUUAUGAGCUAUGAGGAGGUAUGUUCUGAGGAUGUGCUCUGCGUUCUGCAGCUCUUCUCUGGGCCUGGGAGCCCUGCACAAGGAGAGACCAAGCCCUCCAGGUGUGUGCUGGCCAGGAGGGUGGCUACUGAGCCCCGAAAAUGCCGUUAAAUCCCAACUGGGAUGUGCUGGGAGUGUAAGAUACACCCUGAAUUCCCAAGAUUUAGGAAGGAAAAAAGCAUGCAAAGUAGCCUGUACUUUAUGUUGAUCACAUACUGAGAUUAUAUAUCUUUUGGGUAUAUUGAGUUAAAGAAAAAAUGUUAUUAAAAUUGUAUUUCUUGUCUCUUCUUAUUUUUUUAGACAUGGCCGCUAAAACGUGUAAAAUCACAUAUGUGGCUCAGGUUUGUGGCUCGCAUUAUAUUUCUAAGGGUCCGCAUAGCUCUAGAUGGAAAGAGACUCUAGGGGUGCCUGGGUGGCUCAGUCAGUUAAGCGUCUGGCUUGGGCUCAGGUCGUGAUCUUGAGGUUCGUGAGCUCGAGCCCCGCAUCCGGCUCUGUGCCGACAGCUUGGAGCCUCCUUGGGAUCCUCUGUCACCCUCUCUCUCUGCACCUCCCCCACUCACUCUUUCUCAAAAAUAAAUAAAUGUGAAAAAAAAUGUUUAAUGGAAAG
rnacentral:lncRNA from 1 species